UUUUACAGCACCUUGGUGCUGGGGCCUUGUAUGGAGCCAGUCACAAGGUUUAUGAUACCUACAAAUGACCUGCCAUAGCCAGGAGGAAAUGAGGGAGCUCCCCUCUCCUGUCCUUGAGGAAGACAGCUGUAGCAGUUCUCUAGAAAGGGCCUUUGUGGCGUCCUCACUAAGUCCUCCCUAAAGGACAAAUGGAGGAAGGUGGUUUUGGGCCUCAUACUCCAUUUCUAUUUAAAUGAGCAAAGGUGGGGCUGCUCUUCCAGAGGACCUGGGUUUGAUUCCCAGCACCCACAUGGUGGCUCACAACCAUCUGCAACUCCAUUUCAAGGAGGGUCCAAUACCCCUCUGGCCUCCUUGGGUACCAGGCACACAUGUGGUGCACAUACACACGGGCAAAGCAUCCAUGCAUGUGAAAGAGAUGUGGAUUUAGGGCCACCGUGGGAACACAGCUGUGAGUGUGUCUGCGCCAGGCGUUUCCAGAAAGGAUCCACUGAGGAGGGAAGACCCAGCCCGAACUUGAAAGCCUGGGGGCUUCCCGAAGGGAAGACAAGGCCAGGUCCUCAGAAGGGUGCCACCUUCGAGUUCGUCCUGGAAGGAACCUCUCAUGCCUGUCAUGGGUCCUGAGUGAAAUAAUGGCUCCUAAGCCCCUUGUGUGCAUGAGAGCCCCUGGAGGGCUGGCAAACGGUACUUGACAUAAAACAAAUUGCAGUGCGAGUCCCAGAGCCAUCAGGUCAGCUGGGGCGGGGCCUGGAAAUGAACAUUUUCAGCAAGUUCCCAGACCAUGCUUCCAGGCCAGCCCAGAGCCCACCCUCUGAGAACCACUGCCCUAAAGAACUGCAGAGUGACCCGGAGCUGGUGUGGAAUUUAUUCUCUCUGCUCUCUGGACUGUUGUUUUGGCUGCUGGUGAGGUUCUCAUUGUGCUCCUGAGCCCUGAUUUGUGGUACUUGGCAGACCCUCAGAGCCCCAGGAGGGCUGGAACUUCUAACAGGCAGCACCCAGGUGCCCAUGAGCAGGUGGUUUUUACUGCACACCCGGGACAACAUACACGUGGAAGACCCGUUCCCUUACUUGCUGUAAAGCUUGGAAAUGGAGUGAGACAGCUGUGACCUUUCCUCUGGGUGUGCUCCUCAGGGAUGGGCCUUCUGAAAAUGUUGGCACUGGCAGCAGCUGGCAGGGAUGUGGGUGCCCCGCAGGCUGUCGGAAUGGCUUGGUGUAGAGACUCUCCCUCACUCUCCCCUUCUUUCCUUCUACCCUACCCUUUUGGGUGGUCCACACAGGGAAUGGCCGUUGGGCUGAACCUGACUGAGUUGACUCAUGGGCCCUGUGCCCACUUUUCCCAGUCCAGGCUAUCAACUCUCGGGAUGGUGCGACCCACGUCCGGGGCGAGUCUUUCCUCCUUAGCUGUAUCUCUCUGUAAAUGCCCUUGCUGGCGUGCCAGGAGAUAUGCUCCUUAGAUGAUCCUCAAUCCAACCAAGUUAUUAAUGAAGACUAGCCCUCAUAUCCUGGGUGAGCCCACUCUACUCUACCCCUAGUGAGAACCUGGGAGACCCCAAGUCCCAGUACCUAGCUGGGAGCAUGGCUUCUACUGUAUUUGCUUGUCAGGGAAUGUGGAAGCUUUCUUUUGUCCUGAAGCUGUCACUGCCCUCUUCAUGCCAACGAUGCAAUGGCAGAUUUGUGUCACCCAGUGUACAAGG
rnacentral:lncRNA from 1 species